rnacentral:rRNA from 1 species
AUGGCUUUUUUAUUUCCCAAGAAAAGUAUAUCCAGGAUCUUCUUACUCGUGCGACUCUUAGUGAUGAGCGCACUGUUGAGACACCUAUGGAGCUCAAUCUUCACCUCCGCGCUUCUGAUGGUGAGCCCUUGUCUGAUCCGACACGUUAUCGUCAUCUUGUUGGGAGUCUUGUCUAUCUCGCCGUCACUCGUCCGGAUAUCUCCUAUCCUGUCCACAUCUUGA